rnacentral:rRNA from 1 species
GCAUAUCAAUAAGCGGAGGAAAAGAAACCAACCGGGAUUGCCUUAGUAACGGCGAGUGAAGCGGCAAAAGCUCAAAUUUGAAAUCUGGUACCUUCGGUGCCCGAGUUGUAAUUUGGAGAGGGCAACUUUGGGGCCGUUCCUUGUCUAUGUUCCUUGGAACAGGACGUCAUAGAGGGUGAGAAUCCCGUGUGGCGAGGAGUGCGGUUCUUUGUAAAGUGCCUUCGAAGAGUCGAGUUGUUUGGGAAUGCAGCUCUAGGUGGGUGGUAAAUUCCAUCUAAAGCUAAAUAUUGGCGAGAGACCGAUAGCGAACAAGUACAGUGAUGGAAAGAUGAAAAGAACUUUGAAAAGAGAGUGAAAAAGUACGUGAAAUUGUUGAAAGGGAAGGGCAUUUGAUCAGACAUGGUGUUUUGUGCCCUCUGCUCCUUGUGGGUAGGGGAAUCUCGCAUUUCACUGGGCCAGCAUCAGUUUUGGUGGCAGGAUAAAUCCAUAGGAAUGUAGCUUGCCUCGGUAAGUAUUAUAGCCUGUGGGAAUACUGCCAGCUGGGACUGAGGACUGCGACGUAAGUCAAGGAUGCUGGCAUAAUGGUUAUAUGCCGCCCGUCUUGAAACACGGACC